rnacentral:ncRNA from 2 species
UGGAUUUACAGUCUUUGAGCGUGCCUUCUCUAAAGGAUUUUCCCAAGAGAGCACGCCUGAAAGGUGAUACCUUUCACAGGGGCGUUUGGAAACGGAUUGCCCUGCCAUUUGCAAAAAAGAGUGUAGGUGACAAAU